UGCAAAAUCGGCAUUGAUCAAAUACUUGUUCUCCCACAGUAUGUAUGUCACUGUUGCACUUAUGAAACAGCCUCCUCUGAGGUAACUACACAAACAUUCUAAAAGUUACAUUCCCAUUGGUCUGUCCAUCAGCCGGUUCUCUAGCCUGGGGACAAGGUUACAUUCCCAUUGGUCUGUCCAUCAGCCGGCUCUCUAGUCUGGGGACAAGGUAACAUUCCAUUGGUCUUGUCCAUCAGCCGGUUCUCUAGCCUGGGGACAAGGUUACAUUCCCAUUGGUCUUGUCCAUCAGCCGG